rnacentral:lncRNA from 1 species
AUUUUCGGAACCUUCAGCCGCAACACACACCCAUAUAAACAGACACACACACAAAGAACGCCGGAAAUCAGCCACGCACCAUAUUUUCAAGCUUCGUCUAUCCUUUCACUCAUCCAAGCUUCUACUGGCUUCUCCUAUUCUCUCGAUACCUACUGCUGCUACUGCUUUAGCACACGUUGGUGGUGCAUCAGCUGCUGCAGCGUUGAACCAACGGAGUUGAGAUCGUAGUCUGAGGUUCCCGGAGAGAUUCGCCGUUCCGUCAAGGUCGUCGCCGGUUAGAAAUUUCUGUCGUGGUUUCUGGGUGGUAUAGACAUUCGCCGUUCCGUCAAGGUCGUCGCCGGUUAGAAAUUUCUGUCGUGGUUUCUGGGUGACGGGUCUGUUCAUUAUCGACUACAGUGUGGGGUUCUUGUAAACCAGUUGGAAGAUCUUUAAUAUAUUGAAUGGUUUCAAAGGUCUGUUGUUUUCUUCUUUACCAUUUUGCUCGGAAGAUCAUGCUUGGUUAAAUUUCUAUAAUCUGUUAUGGUUGUGUCGUUUGAAUUUUUCGUGCUAGUAAAUUUCGUUGUAUUGUGUGGCGGAAUAUUUUUGUGUUCUGCUAACUUUGUUGUUAAGGAUGUAAGACUUAAUUUUAAUUUUUUAACCCCAAACUAUAAAAUAUGAAAAAUGCUAAAUGUUUUGCAGUAGAAAUCAUUUUCGAUUGGUUUGUCUCAUGUUUGUUACUGCAUCUUCUUGUUAAUCAUGAAAAUUGUAAAGAUUAAUUGAGUAAUUAGGGGAUUAGCAAUAACGGCCAUGUGUUUGCUUGUAAGAAAUUAAUGUUGUAGGGGUAUAAGCAGAUUGUAAUGUUAUGGGAUUGUGGGGGUUGGAUAGAGCUAACUGGAAUCACCCCUAAGUUUUUCAGUGAAUUUCCUUAAUUAGAACCUCCGCAAUUAAUCCUGUUUCUUAGGAAAAUAAUUAACCCUUUGGAUAUUCAUAGAAAUGCUUUAGGCGCGCAUUUAAUCUACUAUCAUAAUUGUGUACACAUUCGCGUGAUAUGAUUAUGAUUUCCAAAAUUGAAACCAAAGUAUGCGUUCAAGCAACUUUGGGUAAAACAAUAUUAAUAAUAAAGUGUUAUUAAUUGUGUACACAUACGCGUGACAUAACUUUGGUACAUCAAACAAAAAGAGUACACGUACGCGUGACUCGUAUCAAGAUAAUUCCAAAAUCACGAAUAAUCGAGUAAUUAGAAGCGGUAAAAGGUAAAGUACAUAUAGGUUCUAAAAUACGUAAUUAAACAAUUUAAUUAGGCCAGGUAUGAUUGAAAGCGACUGUGCUAAAACCACGGAACUCGGGAGUGCCUAACAACAUCUAUCGGAUUAACAGAAUUUCUUACCCAGUCCUCUGGUUUCGCAAACUUUUAAACAGAGUCAAAUUUCCUCGAUUUAUGAUUUAAAAUAACCCGGUGACUUGGGACACCAUAAAUUAUUCCAAGCGGCGACUCUGAAAUUAAAGAAAUAAUCCUAUUUCGAUUAAUGUCACUACUCUUCUAUCCCCUCGGGAAAAGGAGGUGUGACAAUAUUUAUACGGUGCUUUAAAUAAACUUAUUGAGUAUGUUUUAUAAUGAUAUUAUACCACAAAAUUAUAUUUAUACCAAGGGGAUUUCUGGUAUUUUCUUAAUAUUUUAUUUUUAUGUUGGAUUGUUUUAUGUUUUCAGAAAAAUAUAUAUUUAAUAUAUUUAUAGGAUCUUAUAUUGUAAAAGUUUUAUAUAAUUUGAAUGUUCCAUCAAUAUUAACUGAAAUUAUACUAUGGAUGUAAUGUAAAUAUUUCUUCAAAUAUUUACCUAUUACUCUUCAGAUUCCAGCAAUGUAUAUUAGUAUAAAAGAAUAUAAUGUAAAUUAUACAAUGAAUAAUAUGUAAAUAUCCUAUUAAUUUAUUUCACCUUAAAAGAAAAUUAAAAAAAGACAAAAAGUUAGAAAAUAGGAGACUAGUUGUGUUGGUGACAUAUAGAAUCUUGAAUGAAUGUGUAUAAUUUAUGUUAGAGUGACAAGGGGAAGGAAAAUAAGAGAGUUAAAUAGAAGAAAUGAAAGAUUAAUGUUAAAAGAGAAUCCCUACAAAUAAGCAAAAAUAAGUGGUGAUUCGGAGGAUUUACAAUUUUACGAAUUAUUAAUAACUUUGUUUCCUACAAAUAAGCAAAAAUCUUUAUGUUUCUCUUAAGGAAUGAAAAUAAUUAGGUGCUGUUUUUGUUAAUUACCUAUGUUUAGCUCAAAGUUUUCAUUUACUUUAUAAGCAUAAAAUAAUCGAAAUAAAUGGAGGUCCAAUCAUAGCAGGUCGUAAUAAAUUCAAAGACCAAAGGAAUAAGAUAUAAGAGACAAUAGGUAUUAGAUAUAGGGAAGAGGGUAAAGAUCUUUUAUUAAUGAUAUUGGUUUGGUCUGCCUCUCAAUGGAGAGGUUCAGAGCCUUACAAUGAUGUAUUAUCCUUCUUUUAGAAGUAGAUAUGAAGAAGAAGAAGCACCCCCCUUUUUAGGGUUCUUUCUCUUAGUAUUUAUAACUAGGAGAUCUCCCAGUUGGCGCCACUCUCUUCCUUUUCGAAGUAGAUGUGGAGAAGAAGAAGCAGUCCCCCUUUUAGGGUUCUUUCUCUUAGUAUUUGUAGCCAGGAGAUCUGCCAGCUGGCGCUAAGGAGUCAGGACCACAUAGAGGGGACGUCCUCGUGAGGACGGCCAUGCCGUAGCCUCAGUUGUCAAAUUGGAUAACUACCUGAUAAUCGUGUGAAUAAAUGGCCACACCAUUUAUUGGUCAUAAAUAAGCUUUAAUAAAUGCGUUGAUCUCAUUUAGUAUCAUGAGGUCAAGUUUUUACCUAUGCACCACUAAGAGUUAAUACUAUCUUGUUAUACUUUCUUUUAAUUUUUGGAGAAUAUUGAGAGGAUAGAAUUAUAUUGAGAGAAUAAUUAAAUUGUUGUUAAGCUUCUUAUCCUACUUAGUCCUACAUUUAUUUAUACGGAUUCCGCUAAUGACAAUAGCCCCUACAUGCGUUGGGAGUCGAUCGUAGUCUUUUUAUUCUUCGGACACGGCCGUAGCUGUUUUUACUUUCAGAGAUGGCUGUAGCCAUUUUCAAUCAUUCGGAGAAGGCCGUAGCCAUUAUUAAUUUAGAGGUGGUCGUAGCCUUUUUCUUUGGAGAUGACCGUAGCCAUUUUCCUUUUAGAGGUGGUCGUAGCCUUUUUUUUUUUUAGAUGACCGUAGCCAUUUUCCUUUUAGAGGUGGCCGUAGCCUUUUAUCUUUUAGAGAUGGCCGUAGCCAUUUUCCUUUUAGAGGUGGCCGUAACCAUUUUCCUUUUAGAGGUGGUUGUAGCCUUUUUCUUUGGAGAUGUCCGUAGCCAUUUUCCUUUAAGAGGUGGCCAUAGCCUUUUCUCUGGAGAUGACCGUAGCCGUUUUUAUUUUUGAGGCGGCCGUAGCCACUUUUGUUUUGGAGGUGGCCGUAGCCAUUUUCACACGUGCUUGGAGAGAGUACGAUUACGCUUGUUGAGUGUAAGGGGGACAUCAUGUGUAUGGUGACGCAUGGGGCGUGCCCGUGGUGUAUUGAGGUCGUCAUAACUGUUCCAUGGGGGACGUGCCGAUUGACGGUCGAAUGACCGUUCGAUGAUGUUUGUCAUAAUGUUGCUCGUUACUGCAGGUUUGAACCGUUUUGCGGUUGGUCGGAUAGUUAAUGGUGACCAUNNNNNNNNNNNNNNNNCCGUUUGAUGAUGUUUGUCAUAAUGUUGCUCGUUACUGCAGGUUUGAACCGUUUUGCGGUUGAUCGGGUAGUUAAUGAUGACCUUUGAGAUUCGUGAGGGCCAUUCAUGUUUUAAUAAAUAAGGGGUUGUGUUGCUCAGCUCUCACUUUUCCGAUUUCUGCCUAAGUGGAAUUCUGAGUGAGAUAAGCUUUCUUGCUUUCAGAUUAUCUAGUUUUUCAGUCCUUGUUUAUUCAUCCUCCGUCACUUUAGUCGGAUCUUCGUAUUCUCCUGUUUUUCCGGUGAAUCUUACCAUCUUAUUUUCGUUAUAUUGAUAAUGACGAGCAGUUCCCGUUCCGAUGCAUUUCCGGUGGCGGUUGCGGUGGCAGAAGGUCCAUCUACGGUGGCGGGAGCCACUGAUUUGCUGACCGUUGAUCGGUUCCCGUCGGUGACCGACAUUCUUUCCCUUUCCAGAGGUCCAGUGGCCGAUUUUACCGACCCUGAGGGAGAAGAUCAAGUGGACGAGGCUCCAUUGAU